AGUAGCUCAGUGGUAGAGCGAUCGGCUGUUAACCGAUGGGUCG
rnacentral:tRNA from 1 species